UCCCCCAAAGCUAUCCGAGCACCGACACGCCUGCAGCAGCACCCGACCGGGACCCGCCGGCGGUCGGUCGCGCCGUUAUCCCCGCCCAUCCCUUCCCCAACUGCCGUCCGAACCCCUGAAGCUCUGGAGCCCCGCGGCCUCCGGCCGCCAUCCCUGAAUUAUUAGGGGGCGUUCUGAGCCGCCGGAACCGUUCGGCCUGUGCAGGAGGGAAGGCCCAGUGCAAUUGUUCUUCUCAAGGUAGCACAGCAAUCCCUUCAAAAGAAAAGCAAAUUCCAACUCUGCCUAUCAGGCGCAUGCAAUAAUUUUUCUUCGCAUUAUUGCAGCUGCAAUCCUCAACCAAUGGUCUUUCUUUUUGCAUAUAAGGUUAGCAACCUUUAAUUGCCUCUAAAUUUCUGUCAUAUUUUGCUUUCCUGUUCUUGCUUUUCUAAGUUGCAGGAUCAGAAUGUUUUCUGCCUUAAAGUAACGCCGAACUACAUUGUACCAUCUGUCGGUGUGAGAUACCGGGUGCAAAUGCACCUUGAUGCCUCUGAUGGCGGCUUAAGUACCAAUUCUGUUCGUGUUUUAGUGGUGGUUGCAUGCGCUUAAAGGCACCUCCAAGUGUGUCACCUGUUCAUUUCGCUGUCAGACCUUAUUCUGCAUGCCCAAGCCUGCCUUUCCCUCUCUGACGUGUCACUGUUACAGAUACUCUGCACUCUGUUUGAUUAUGCCUGCAUGCCCCCGGCUGGUGCCUUGACUUGUUAGUAAUAGCUUGCACCUCCCUUUCCGGUGACGCCGACUUCCUACUGCCCCUUUGCACUCCCUUUCCAUCCCUUUCCAUGACGGUGACCCGCUACUGGAACACUAUCAGAUGCUGCUUCAAGGCACUUCUUGUGUGCCACAUUGCAACAUCAUUAGGUCAGCUCGCAUAUAAUUUUAUUGUGCACUUGCUGCUGUUUCCAUGUUCUUUUUUGCUUAUGUGUUGUUUCUCAAGUUUUAACACGUUAGGCUGUGUCUGCCCUGUUCCCCUGUUUUUUCUGGUCUAGAAGUUACUUACCCUAUAUGAGGACAGACUCCAAGACAAAAGUCUCAAGCUCCCGUGAUAACAAACUAGGGAAUUGGAGUUGUUGCAUCUCCAAACAAUUAGGGCCUGUUGGAUAGGUGGGGACUGUAACCGAUCCCUUCGGAUUGGUAAGGAGAAUGUACUAGUUUCCCUGCCAAUCGGAAGGGAUUUGGUCUAACUGCAGGGUAUCCAAACAAAGCUUUCGGCGUCAAGAGCUGCUGUACAAUAUCAUGGGACUGUUCAUUCCAUCUUGUCAAAGGUAAUAAGGUACUGUACAUUAUGGUUGUGUGGCUUGUUCUUGUUGGUUUGACUGUCUUAUUAGAGACAACCAACCUGAACAGCUUAAGGCUGCAUUUGGUUCAGCUUUCUGAAGCUGAACUAAAGUGGUUCAACUUUUCUGCAGCUGUUUUGAAAAAACUGCUUUUCUGUAGUUAAAUUUGAAAGGAGGUUAUACCCUGCUUUUGCAGCUUUUCCGAAUUUGUGAAAAUUACACACCUACUAUUGGUCACAUAUAUACCCUUUCAAUUCUUUUUUAUAUAUAAAAAAAUAAAGAUUUUCAUAUAUAGAAAAUAAAAUAAAAAAGAAUACAAAAAGUUAACUCCAAAUAUUUUCAUAUAUAUAAAAAUAAAGAUUUAAAAGAAAAAGGAUUUGGUCAUCACAAAGAAAUAUUGUAUACUGUCAAUUUGCAUAAAGAUAAUAUAUAAUUUUUUCACAGUCGACAACUCAUAGCAGUUUGAACCAAACGACUUUCAGCUUUUUCAUAGCAGGCAUCUCACAGCAGCUUUUUCACAGCAGACAUCUGACAACAGUUUUUUCCCAGCUCACAGCUGAACCAAACGCACCCUUAGUCUUAUCCUUCCAGACAUUGUCUAGCAGCCACUUUUUCUCUGUUGUCAUUUUAUCAUACUUGAUUUAACCUGAGAUCGUAUUUUUUUAGAUAUGUAGGGAGAAACAUUUUGUUCCUGUAACAUUGCUUAUUAGUAUGUGGUUAUCAUAAUCUUCUAAGGGGAUGCUUGUAAUAAUGUGGAACAAUGUCCGCAGAUUCGCUAACAUA